rnacentral:rRNA from 1 species
UACGGGGGGAGCAAGCGUUGUUCGGAUUUACUGGGCGUAAAGGGCGCGUAGGCGGUCACUACAAGUCAGUUGUGAAAUCUCUGGGCUUAACUCAGAACGGUCAACUGAUACUGUCGGACUAGAGUGCAGAAGGGGCAACUGGAAUUCUCGGUGUAGCGGUGAAAUGCGUAGAUAUCGAGAGGAACACCUGCGGCGAAGGCGGGUUGCUGGGCUGACACUGACGCUGACAGCGCGAAAGCUAGGGGAGCGAACGGG